rnacentral:rRNA from 1 species
UACGGGGGGAGCAAGCGUUGUUCGGAUUUACUGGGCGUAAAGGGCGCGUAGGCGGCCACCGCAAGUCGACUGUGAAAUCUCCGGGCUUAACUCGGAAAGGUCAGCCGAUACUGCGGGCUAGAGUGCAGAAGGGGCAACUGGAAUUCUCGGUGUAGCGGUGGAAUGCGCAGAUAUCAGGAGGAACACCAAUAGCGAAGGCAGCUCGCUGGGACGUUACUGACACUGAGGCGCGAAAGCGUGGGGAGCGAACAGG